GCCUCUAUGGCGUAGUGGUAGCGCGUGUCACUUGUACAUAAUUACAAGACAUGACAAGGUCUCUCGUUCGAUCCGGGAUGGAGGCA
rnacentral:tRNA from 1 species